rnacentral:rRNA from 1 species
CACGUAGGGCGCAAGCGUUGUCCGGAAUUAUUGGGCGUAAAGAGCUCGUAGGUGGUUUGCUGCGUCCGCUGUGAAAACCCAAGGCUUAACCUUGGGCUUGCAGUGGAUACGGGCAGACUAGAGGUAGGUAAGGGAGAAUGGAAUUCCCGGUGUAGCGGUGAAAUGCGCAGAUAUCGGGAGGAACACCGGUGGCGAAGGCGGUUCUCUGGGCCUUACCUGACACUGAGGAGCGAAAGCGUGGGGAGCGAACAGG